UGGGCCGGCAGUGCGUGCAUGUACGUCCAUGUUAACAGCUGCCACUCGGGACCAAUUAUUACCACAAAAAAACAAGGACAAGGAAAAGACAAAAUGAGGAUUAACAUUAGCCUCGGAUUACCAAGGUGGAGAGCACUUCGAGAGCAAAAGCAGCUUCAGUUUGACUCAGAGCUAGAUUUUCUCCUCCUGGAUAGGCUGGUGUAGUACACAUGGCACAGACAUCUCCAGGCCACCUAAUCCAUGCCAAGACAUCUCAGUUUGACUGACAAAGGUCACAGGGGAGCUGUCACAAGGUGAAACGAGAAGCAAGACCACUGUGAAGAAAGGACAUAUAUGUGACAGCUGCUGGUAAUGGUUCACCCUGGAGACUGGUCCACUGGAGCAGGUUAUAAAUAUGCUCUUAUGUCACUGGAGAUGUAA